UACGUAGGGUGCAAGCGUUGUCCGGAAUUAUUGGGCGUAAAGAGCUCGUAGGCGGUUUGUUGCGUCGGCUGUGAAAACCUGAGGCUCAACCUCAGGCCUGCAGUCGAUACGAGCAGACUAGAGUGUUGCAGGGGAGACUGGAAUUCCUGGUGUAGCGGUGAAAUGCGCAGAUAUCAGGAGGAACACCGGUGGCGAAGGCGGGUCUCUGGGCAACAACUAACGCUGAGGAGCGAAAGCGUGGGGAGCGAACAGG
rnacentral:rRNA from 1 species